rnacentral:rRNA from 1 species
GACGAACGCUGGCGGCGUGCUUAACACAUGCAAGUCGAGCGAGGUCCAUCCGGUGGCAACACCGGGGACGGCCUAGCGGCGGACGGGUGAGUAACACGUGAGCAACCUGCCCCGAAGACUGGGAUAACACCGGGAAACCGGUGCUAAUACCGGAUGCCCUCCUCUGGUCGCAUGGCCGGAGGAGGAAAUGGAUUCCGCUUCGGGAGGGGCUCGCGGGCCAUCAGCUUGUUGGUGAGGUAACGGCUCACCAAGGCGACGACGGCUAGCUGGUCUGAGAGGACGACCAGCCACACUGGGACUGAGACACGGCCCAGACUCCUACGGGAGGCAGCAGUGGGGAAUCUUGCGCAAUGGGCGAAAGCCUGACGCAGCAACGCCGCGUGGGGGAUGAAGGCCCUCGGGUUGUAAACCCCUUUCAGCAGGGACGAAUUUGACGGUACCUGCAGAAGAAGCCCCGGCCAACUACGUGCCAGCCGCCGCGGUAAUAC